rnacentral:rRNA from 1 species
CGGACGGGUGAGUAACGCGUGGGUGACCUACCCUGUACACACGGAUAACAUACCGAAAGGUAUGCUAAUACGGGAUAAUAUAUUUGAGAGGCAUCUCUUGAAUAUCAAAGGUGAGCCAGUACAGGAUGGACCCGCGUCUGAUUAGCUAGUUGGUAAGGUAACGGCUUACCAAGGCGACGAUCAGUAGCCGACCUGAGAGGGUGAUCGGCCACAUUGGAACUGAGACACGGUCCAA